AGCGAACGCUGGCGGCAGGCCUAACACAUGCAAGUCGAACGGACCUUUCGGGGUUAGUGGCGGACGGGUGAGUAACACGUGGGAACGUGCCUUUAGGUUCGGAAUAGCUCCUGGAAACGGGUGGUAAUGCCGAAUGUGCCCUUCGGGGGAAAGAUUUAUCGCCUUUAGAGCGGCCCGCGUCUGAUUAGCUAGUUGGUGAGGUAAAGGCUCACCAAGGCGACGAUCAGUAGCUGGUCUGAGAGGAUGACCAGCCACAUUGGGACUGAGACACGGCCCAAACUCCUACGGGAGGCAGCAGUGGGGAAUCUUGCGCAAUGGGCGAAAGCCUGACGCAGCCAUGCCGCGUGGAUGAUGAAGGUCUUAGGAUUGUAAAAUCCUUUCACCGGUGAAGAUAAUGACGGUAACCGGAGAAGAAGCCCCGGCUAACUUCGUGCCAGCAGCCGCCGUAACAC
rnacentral:rRNA from 1 species